rnacentral:lncRNA from 1 species
CUGGCUCUGCUUUUCACCCUGGCUUUGUAUAGUGGCAGUUUUCCGUCUGAAAGGAUUCUUCCUGUGUCUUCACCAAAGUAUGAGAUUAAUGGAAAUACACAAAACCCCAUUUCUGCACCACAAUUGAUGUUAGUCCAUCCUUGCAAAUGUCCAACAAUGGGAAGUGGUGAAAUUGUGGUACAUUUAUGCCAUGGAAUACUCUGGAACAAUUNNNNNNNNNNNNNNNNNNNNNNNNNNNNNNNNNNNNNNNNNNNNNNNNNNNNNNNNNNNNNNNNNNNNNNNNNNNNNNNNNGCCAGGAGAAAAAGAAUCUGGCUCUGUUCUCAAUGACAUGAUCACUGCAGGAUAAAGCAAUCUCUCCUCCCUCCUGUGGCCAUCCUUCUCCAGCCCAAAGGAGUCCCUCAGAAACUUCGCAGCCUAGUGGAUGGCCCUUUCCCCAAUGCAUUCGUUCUCAAGAUGGGUGAUGACCAGUUACAUAAGUACAUAAUCACGAGACUGGAAGUGUGUUCUGUGCUUUGGGAUGCACUAAGUACUUUCAAAUCCACUCUCUCAGACCCAGGGUCAGCAUUAUUAUUUCCAUUUUACAUAGGAGGAAACGGGAGGAGGAAUAAGUGACUUGUCCAAGGUAACACAGCCAAAAAAUAGCCAGGGAUCAGUACUCAGACCCAAGUUGUGACUUCCUGUCAGGACCGAGAGGCAGCCUGCUGUGGCACAAAAGUUGGACCUGGGUUCGAGUUCUUCUCUUCCACUUGCAGGCUGUGUGAUUUAACCCCAGUCUUGGUUGUUCCCUGUAAAGUAGGAUGGAAGUGUUAUGAAAUGUAAUAGACACAUAAGCAAUGCUUGGUUACCAGAACAGAUCCCAUUCAUGGCCCACAUGACAACCUGCUUCCCCAGAGGGUAUUUUUGGAGACAGCUCUUCUGUUUCCAGGUUUUCUCUCCUGCCUAAAUGUCCUGCCUAAGUGCCUUCAAGAACCCUUCACCAUCCUACUCCUGCAUGUGACCAGGUUCCAUGGUCAGUUCAAUCACUUAGUCACAGUUGGUAAGUGACAGAGUUGGGACUUGAACCUAUGCCUGCCUGACACCAAGUCUUUUUUUGACACCUAGAGCCAAGACAUCUGCAGACAAACUCCCUAGGAGAGCUGGUGUCAUAGAAACCUUAAAGGUUAGGGAGACCUGGGUUGGAAUCAGGCUUUGUCAGUUAUGACUUGUGUGACCCUAGCAAGUUAUUUAACCUUUCUGGGUCUCAGUUUCCUCAUCUGCAAACUGAGGAUAAUAACAGUACCUACCAAAAAGAACUGUCAUGAAAACCAUAUAAUUUCUGCAAUGCUCCUGGCACAGUGUCCUGUUCUAAAGCAUAGUUCCGCUUCUCUUUCUUAGCUCCAUAUUGAUUAUUACCCUAACUUGCACAAAGAGACUUGGAGGAUCCCCAUAGAGUAUCGGAGGGUCCCCCAUUUCCUGCUCUUUCCACUCCACAGCCCCAGCAAGCACAGGGAAGUUCUGGGGGCCAUAAUCCACCCACAGGAACCAAAUCUAAGCCAUCUUUCUGGCUGGUAGACAUCCAGGUAUGUGGGCACAGAGAUAGACAGGCUGAAAUGCUGCUGUGCUAUCAGUUGGGUUUUGCUGGAACAGGAAUGGAAAUGGAGAGGCUGACAGAACUGCCCUGGGGAGCCCAGGCAAGAGGGACAGUGGCUGGACACCCCCAGCCAGUUGUGCAGACCAUCAGAACAAGAUCCUAGAUUUUAGGAAUACAGGGUUCAAGUCCGUGCGGCAACUCUUUUCUAAAUAUGCCCAAGCCGUUAACUUUGAGUUUUAAAAAUACUGAUUUACAAGCUGUACACAAUGAAAAAAUGCCUAUCCCUCACACCAUGCUGAUGCUGUUCCCUGCCAUCUCAGUUUACCAAUUAAAAUACAGAAUGCCCAAUUAAAUGUGAACUUUUUUUUUUUUUUUUUUUUUUUUUUGAGAUGGAGUUUUGUUCUUGUCGCUCAGGCUAGAGUGCAAUGGUGCGAUCUCAGCUCACUGCAACCUCUGCCUCCCGGGUUCAAGCAAUUCUCCUGCCUUAGCCUCCUGAGUAGCUGGAACUACAGGUGCCCACCAGCAUGCCUGGCUAAUUUUUUGUAUUUUUAGUAGAGAUGGGGUUUCACCAUGUUGGCCAGGCUGGUCUCGAACUCCUGACCUCAGGCGAUCUGCCUGCCUCAGCCUCCCAAAGUGCUGGGAUACAGGCGUGAGCCUAAAUGUGAACUUUUUUAAUACUAAAAAAGUAUUUGCUGUUCAUCUGAAAUUCACAUUUAACUGGGUGUCCUGUAUUUUUAUUUGCUAAAUCUGCCAUCAAAUUGGUCUGGCUCAACCUGGAGAAUGGCCAGGUGGUUUCAGUUUUACAGGCAUCCUGGGACGUGGUCUCCCUGCUCCCCUGAGUCCUCACCCCAGUCCUGGGCUCCCUGGCCCAGGCAGGCCCCAGAUAUUGACUUACCUGCCAGGUCGGCAGCUCCUCCUUGGGGCUACCUGGUACCUGAAUGUCCUGGAGCUCUAGAGGUUGCCUCCGCUGGAGGCGUGGUCCGGUCAGCAGGUUGGGAUUAGUGUGUCAUAAGGAACUUCUCACCGCCCACAGUUUCCGUUAAAUCGGGCUCACAGGAGGCCCUGAGUGGGGCAAAGGAAGACCCGGAGAGAAAGGGGAGAGGGGAGAGGCCUGGGCCUGGCUGGAGGCGCAUCAAAGCCCUCCUUUGUGUGCUCCUGCUCUGGAGUUCCUGCUCGGCCAUGUGGAAGCCUGGCUGUGGGGCUGGGAUCUGGGCCAGUCCCAUUCCCUCUUUUCUCUGCCCUCUUUCUCCUCAAGAUCCCGGGGUGGGGUUGCUGAGAGAGCACCCCCCACCACCACCACCACCAGGGUAAUAAGAGGUGAAGGGAAAUCGUAAAUAUGACUACAUCUACAGUGGCAGCUCUGGCAAAUCCAGGCCUAUUGCCCACCCCUGCCCCAGCCAGCAGGACCUGGCGUGGUAGUUUUCACCUCUGCAGUGAGUGGGGUCAGUUGGGAAAUGUGGCUGGUUAAGGCCAAGCAGGGAGAGGACAAGACAGGCUGAGCCUCCUUCUGGGCAGUGUGGUGCAGCGGCAUGCCCUGGAACCAGACUGCCCGCUUGUAAAGCCUCGCUCGAGUAUCUUCUGGCCGGGAAACAUGACUUCAAAACUCAUCGGCUCAGUUUCCUCCUCUAAGAAGAGUAGAAAACUAGAGGACCAGGCUCAUGACUUUAGUGCGGAUGAAAUGGCAGUAAAGUGCUUAGUUCAGGGGUUUAGCUGCCUGACAAUAAGUCCUCUGGAAAGGUCAGUUACUCCAAAUACAGUAUCAAUAGGUGCCUAACUGGAGGGAACUUAUUAUUCAAUCCUUUGUACAGGAAGAAACCCCUCUGCAGCCUCUCAACAGGUAACUUCCCAGCCUCUGUUUUGCUAUUCCACUGGAUGAGGAGGAGGUAAUUCCUGUAGAACAUUUUCUGUCUAGGAUUCCAAGGGCGGGAAGCUCCCUGUUUCCAUUACUGGGGAGCUCUCCUUGUUUAAAACCUCAUUGUUGGUUUGAGCCCCAAGCAGCUUCCUAUAAUGACCACCCUUGGUCCUGGUUUUGCCUCCUAGAGGUGCCCAGGACAAGGUCAAGCUCGCCUGCACAGGUCACUCUCCAGAAUCCAACCCCAGAAGUGCUUUUUUAUUUUCCCUGGACAUAGUUCUUGCUUUUCCACCCAUUCCUACUUUGGCAGGUUUGGGAUUUCUU